rnacentral:miRNA from 1 species
UGGAGAAGAUACGCAAGAAAG